GACGAACGCUGGCGGCGUGCUUAACACAUGCAAGUCGAACGGAAAGGCCCUGCUUGCAGGGUACUCGAGUGGCGAACGGGUGAGUAACACGUGGGUGAUCUGCCCUGCACUUCGGGAUAAGCCUGGGAAACUGGGUCUAAUACCGGAUAGGAGCCAUUUUUAGUGUGAUGGUUGGAAAGUUUUUUCGGUGUAGGAUGAGCUCGCGGCCUAUCAUCUUGUUGGUGGGGUAAUGGCCUACCAAGGCGGCGACGGGUAGCCGGCCUGAGAGGGUGGACGGCCACAUUGGGACUGAGAUACGGCCCAGACUCCUACGGGAGGCAGGAGUGGGGAAGAUUGCACAAUGGGCGCAAGCCUGAUGCAGCGACGCCGCGUGGGGGAUGACGGCCUUCGGGUUGGAAACUCCUUUCGCUAGGGACGAAGCUUUUUGUGACGGUACCUAGAUAAGAAGCACCGGCUAACUACGUG
rnacentral:rRNA from 1 species